AGCGUGCGCAGGCGGUUUUGUAAGACUGUCGUGAAAUACCCCGGGCCUCAACCUGGGAAUGGCGAUGGUGACUGCAAGGCUAGAGUUUGGCAGAGGGGGGUAGAAUUCCACGUGUAGCAGUGAAAUGCGUAGAUAUGUGGAGGAACACCGAUGGCGAAGGCAGCCCCCUGGGUCAAAACUGACGCUCAUGCACGAAAGCGUGGGGAGCAAACAGGAUUAGAUACCCUAGU
rnacentral:rRNA from 1 species